CCAUCCAUACGACUGGGUGAACCUACGAUCCUGAAUAAAGAGCGGGUCGGACAAUGAGGCGAAGCGUGCAAACGCGGGAUUUAAAAACGCGAGUGGCAAAUCCUCCUGGAAGUCGUAAUCCGGGUAAGCGC
rfam:Legionella rubrilucens strain WA-270A-C2 Lrub_ctg007, whole genome shotgun sequence.